CGGCGGACGGGUGAGUAACACGUGGAUAACCUACCUAUAAGACUGGGAUAACUUCGGGAAACCGGAGCUAAUACCGGAUAAUAUAUUGAACCGCAUGGUUCAAUAGUGAAAGACGGUUUUGCUGUCACUUAUAGAUGGACCCGCGGCGUAUUAGCUAGUUGGUAAGGUAACGGCUUACCAAGGCAACGAUGCGUAGCCGACCUGAGAGGGUGAUCGGCCACACUGGAACUGAGACACGGUCCAG
rnacentral:rRNA from 1 species